rnacentral:rRNA from 1 species
UACGAAGGGGGCUAGCGUUGCUCGGAAUCACUGGGCGUAAAGGGUGCGUAGGCGGGUCUUUAAGUCAGGGGUGAAAUCCUGGAGCUCAACUCCAGAACUGCCUUUGAUACUGAGGAUCUUGAGUUCGGGAGAGGUGAGUGGAACUGCGAGUGUAGAGGUGAAAUUCGUAGAUAUUCGGAGGAACACCAGUGGCGAAGGCGGCUCACUGGUCCGGUACUGACGCUGAGGUGCGAAAGCGUGGGGGGCAAACAGGG